GAGUUUGAUCGUGGCUCAGAUUGAACGCUGGCGGCAUGCCUUACACAUGCAAGUCGAACGGCAGCACGGGAGCUUGCUCCUGGUGGCGAGUGGCGAACGGGUGAGUAAUGCAUCGGAACGUAUCCUGGAGUGGGGGAUAACGUAGCGAAAGUUACGCUAAUACCGCAUAUUCUGUGAGCAGGGAAAGCGGGGGACCUUCGGGCCUCGCGCUCUUGGAGCGGCCGAUGUCGGAUUAGCUAGUUGGUGAGGUAAAGGCUCACCAAGGCGACGAUCCGUAGCAGGUCUGAGAGGAUGAUCUGCCACACUGGAACUGAGACACGGUCAGACUCCUACGGGAGGCAGCAGUGGGAAUUUUGGACAAUGGGGGCAACCCUGAUCCAGCCAUGCCGCGUGAGUGAAGAAGGCC
rnacentral:rRNA from 1 species